rnacentral:tRNA from 1 species
CGGGUGUAGUUUAGUGGUAAAACUACAGCCUUCCAAGCUGUUGUCGCGAGUUCGAUUCUCGUCACCAAA